CCUUUACAGACUUUGGGUUUCUGCUGACAUUCAUCCACAUCUGAAAGGGAAAGGAGACGACGAUGGAUGCCUGCAGCUGUGGACAGCCUUCCGGGCCCGCUCUCUCUCCGUCGAAUGUGGAAUCUUAGUUCCCUGACCAGGGAUCGAACCCACGCCCCCUGAAGUGGAAGCUCAGAAUCUUAACCACUGGACCGCCCGGGAAGUCCCACAUGUAUUCAUUCUUUUUCAGAUUCUUUUCUCAUAGAGGUUAUCGCAGAAUAUUGAGUAGAGUUCCCCGUGCAACGUUUCUCUGUAUGGACAGACUGAGGCUUGGAGCCCAGAAAAAGAUUCAGGAAGAAUCUGGUGAACAGAGGAGCUUGGAAAAGGUGGAAUUGAUGGGGGUCAAGGUUCCCAGUUGCUGCAGGGGGAUGGGACGGUUGUUUUGUGCCCUGUGACCUCUGCCUAGGCUGGGCACUGCUCCCCCACCACGGAGGCUCUUGGGCCAGGACUUCUCCAUCUGGGUCCUUGGAAGUCGCCCAAACAGGAGCUGGGAGUGGAGCGGCUGGUCAUCUGCUCCCAGUCCCAUCUGGUUUGCAUUCCCCCCGCCGAGCCCUGAGGCGUAAGAUUCCUGGGGUGGGGAUGGGGCGGUCGUCCUCUCCUUGAUCCUCCUGCUAAGGACCCCCCAGUCUACCCCCCAGACCAGCCAGUGAAAUAAUAAUAAUAAUAAAUACCGUUUACUUAAUUCUGUGAACCAGGAAUAGUUUGCAUACGAACUCAGUUCACCUUUAACACAGCCCUAUAAAGUGAAGACCAGUCUUGCCACAUUUUACAGAUGUGGAAAGUGAGAUUCAGGGGCUGCGAGAUCUGGCUCCGGUGACACACCGCCCCCCAUCAGGUGUGCCCCACACAGAUUCCAGUUUCUUGCUUCCCAGUCUGGGAGCCACUGGGCUCACGCCCGCCAUCCCGGGCCAGCACAGGGAAGCCCGUCCCUGUGGCCUGGGGAAGCUCUGGUUGGUACCCCAAAUGCCAUUUCUUCAUUCUCUUUGUUGCUUGGUUGCCCUGGCAACCAGCUGCCCACGAUAACCGGUAGAGCCACCCUGGGUGGGGCGGGAAGGGAGGCCCUGGGGAAGUCGCAGCAAAAGUCAAGUUCAAAUCGUCCACUGGCAAAGUCCUUUCCACCCACAGCUGAGUCCAAGCUGGGCCCAGGGGAGCCAGAAUGAGGGUCUCUGGGGCUGCCCCAUGCCACUGAGACAGUGGGGGACAGGUUGGGGGUACCCCCUCAAUGGGGAGGUCCCACCCCAACCCCCCAGCCCUCCAGCCCCGCAGCGCUCCCCUAUGCCCGGCUGUCUUCAGGAGUCCCAGCACUCGUUUUUUCCCCCUCUCCUUCCCCAAACCUGCUUCCCCGCUUUG